UAAGGAAUAUUGGGCAAUGGACGAAAGUCUGACCCAGCCAUGCCGCGUGCGGGAAGAAGGAUCUACGAUCUGUAAACCGCUUUUAUUUGGGAAGAAGAACCGGGAUUCAUCCUGGGAGAGACGUUACCAAAGGAAUAAGCACCGGCUAACUCCGUGCCAGCAGCCGCGGUAAUACGGAGGGUGCGAGCGUUAUCCGGAAUCACUGGGUUUAAAGGGUACGUAGGCGGUGUUGUAAGUCAUCAGUGAAAGGUCGGAGCUAAACUCUGGAAGUGCUGGUGAUACUGCAACGCUAGAAGACGAUGUAGGUAGGCGGAAUGCGUCAAGUAGCGGUGAAAUGCUUAGAUAUGACGUAGAACACCAAUAGCGAAGGCAGCUUACUGAGUCGGACUUGACGCUGAGG
rnacentral:rRNA from 1 species